UCUGUGAUUCAUGUGAUUUUUGCGAUUUUCUGUAAUUCCUGUGAUUUACCUUGAAGCAUUUGUUAAUUUAAUUUCUGUCAUAUCUAUGAUUUUUUGCAAUUUCUGUGAUUUUUUGCAGAAGUAGCCGGUCCCGAGGCUGAUUGUUGGAACCAAAUAGAGAUGGGCAUGUCUCCCUUGACAAUUUCAAAAUGAGGGAUUUAGAUUAUAAUUGAAGGGCAUACUCUGGAGCAUGAUAGCCAAAUGUUCCCAACACUCUUGUUGAAUGUAGGCGAGCCGCGGUGUCAGAAGACUGGUUUGUCAAGCUGAAAUCUGCAAUCUUGGCGUCAUAGUCAUUGAAGAGUAAUACAUUGCUGGAUCUAACAUCACGGUGAACUAUAGAAGGCUGACACUUUUCAUGAAGAUACUCAAGUCCUUUUGCCGCACCAAACGCGAUUUUCGCUCUCUGAUUCCAGCUUAAAACUGGACCUGGUUCAGCCCCUUGUACACCCUUCCUUCCUAUAACAACAAAAAGAAAUAA